UAGGCAAUUUGGAGGCAUUGCCUGCCAGUGACAACUGUUUAACGGCCGCGGUAUCCUGACCGUGCAAGGUAGCAUAAUCAUUUGUUCUCUAAAUAAGGACUUGUAUGAAUGGCCCCACGAGGGUUUUACUGUCUCUUACUUCUAAUCAGUGAAAUUGACCUGCCCGUGAAGAGGCGGGAAUGCCCCAAUAAGACGAGAAGACCCUAUGGAGCUUUAACUAACCAACGCAAAGAGAAUAUAUUUAACCCUUAAGGACUAACCUCCCUCUCCUGGAUUUGGUAUUUUCGGUGGGGGUGACCUCGAACAAAAACAAAUCCUCCAAGCGAUUUUGAAGACAAUACCCCCAAGUCAAAUCACUCUAUCGCUCAUUGGUCCCAAAACUUGGUCCACGGAACAAGUUACCCUAAGGAUAACAACCCAAUCCUAUUCCUAAAUCCAUAUCCACCAUAAGGUUUACCAACUUCAUGGUGGAUCCAGACCUCCUGAAGGGGCAACCCCUAUCUAAGGGUCCUUUGGUCCACCAAUAAAGUCCUACCUGAUCUGAAUUCAAAACGGGA
rnacentral:rRNA from 1 species